rnacentral:rRNA from 1 species
ACAAUGAAGAGUUUGAUCCUGGCUCAGGAUGAACGCUAGCUACAGGCUUAACACAUGCAAGUCGAGGGGCAUCAGGAAGAAAGCUUGCUUUCUUUGCUGGCGACCGGCGCACGGGUGAGUAACACGUAUCCAACCUACCCUUUACUCGGGGAUAGCCUUUCGAAAGAAAGAUUAAUACCCGAUAGCAUAAUGAUUCCGCAUGGUUUCAUUAUUAAAGGAUUCCGGUAAAGGAUGGGGAUGCGUUCCAUUAGGUUGUUGGUGGGGUAACGGCCCACCAAGCCUUCGAUGGAUAGGGGUUCUGAGAGGAAGGUCCCCCACAUUGGAACUGAGACACGGUCCAAACUCCUACGGGAGGCAGCAGUGAGGAAUAUUGGUCAAUGGGCGCUAGCCUGAACCAGCCAAGUAGCGUGAAGGAUGAAGGCUCUAUGGGUCGUAAACUUCUUUUAUAUAAGAAUAAAGUGCAGUAUGUAUACUGUUUUGUAUGUAUUAUAUGAAUAAGGAUCGGCUAACUCCGUGCCAGCAGCCGCGGUAAUACGGAGGAUCCGAGCGUUAUCCGGAUUUAUUGGGUUUAAAGGGAGCGUAGGUGGACUGGUAAGUCAGUUGUGAAAGUUUGCGGCUCAACCGUAAAAUUGCAGUUGAUACUGUCAGUCUUGAGUACAGUAGAGGUGGGCGGAAUUCGUGGUGUAGCGGUGAAAUGCUUAGAUAUCACGAAGAACUCCGAUUGCGAAGGCAGCUCACUGGACUGCAACUGACACUGAUGCUCGAAAGUGUGGGUAUCAAACAGGAUUAGAUACCCUGGUAGUCCACACAGUAAACGAUGAAUACUCGCUGUUUGCGAUAUACAGUAAGCGGCCAAGCGAAAGCAUUAAGUAUUCCACCUGGGGAGUACGCCGGCAACGGUGAAACUCAAAGGAAUUGACGGGGGCCCGCACAAGCGGAGGAACAUGUGGUUUAAUUCGAUGAUACGCGAGGAACCUUACCCGGGCUUAAAUUGCAGUGGAAUGAUGUGGAAACAUGUCAGUGAGCAAUCACCGCUGUGAAGGUGCUGCAUGGUUGUCGUCAGCUCGUGCCGUGAGGUGUCGGCUUAAGUGCCAUAACGAGCGCAACCCUUAUCUUCAGUUACUAACAGGUCAUGCUGAGGACUCUGGAGAGACUGCCGUCGUAAGAUGUGAGGAAGGUGGGGAUGACGUCAAAUCAGCACGGCCCUUACGUCCGGGGCUACACACGUGUUACAAUGGGGGGUACAGAAGGCAGCUACCUGGUGACAGGAUGCUAAUCCCAAAAGCCUCUCUCAGUUCGGAUCGAAGUCUGCAACCCGACUUCGUGAAGCUGGAUUCGCUAGUAAUCGCGCAUCAGCCACGGCGCGGUGAAUACGUUCCUGGCCUUGUACACACCGCCCGUCAAGCCAUGGGAGCCGGGGUACCUGAAGUACGUAACCGCAAGGAUCGUCCUAGGGUAAAACUGGUGACUGGGGCUAAGUCGUAACAAGGUAGCCGUACCGGAAGGUGCGGCUGGAACACCUCCUUU